AUUGAACGCUGGCGGCAGGCCUAACACAUGCAAGUCGAACGGUAACAGGAAGAAGCUUGCUUCUUUGCUGACGAGUGGCGGACGGGUGAGUAAUGUCUGUGAAACUGCCUGAUGGAGGGGGAUAACUCCUGGAAACGGUAGCUAAUACCGCAUAACGUCGCAAGACCAAAGAGGGGGACCUUCUGGCCUCUUGCCCUCGGGUGUGCCCAGAUGGGAUUAGCUAGUAGGUGGGGUAACGGCUCACCCAGGCGACGAUCCCUAGCUGGUCUGAGAGGAUGACCAGCCACACUGGAACUGAGACACGGUCCAGACUCCUACGGGAGGCAGCAGUGGGGAAUAUUGGACAAUGGGCGCAAGCCUGAUGCAGCCAUGCCGCGUGGAUGAAGAAGGCCUUCGGGUUGUAAAGUACUUUCAGCGGGGAGGAAGAGAGGAAGGUUAAUACCUUUGCGCAUUGACGGUACCCGAAGAAGAAGCACCGGCUAACUCCGUG
rnacentral:rRNA from 1 species